rnacentral:lncRNA from 1 species
UGUGUUUGAUGGGUUGCCUCUGUAUGAUUUGAUUUUUGAAACAUUGACCAUGUAUUGAGCUCUAUUGAUAUCAACAUAAAACUAAGGUAAAUCGUCAUAUUUGCUGGAAUUGUCACUGUUAGUGUGUGCUGAACUUGAGAGGAAAGAUGCUGCUGAAGUAACCAUGAAGAUGCUUGCUAAUUUAUAAAGAUUGCUAAAUUGAUGACAUCUAAGAAACUGGACCAUUUUUUCUUAAAAGUACGUAUGCUAACAAUGCC